CUGUUGCUUUGGCUUUAAUACACCCUGUUGGGCUUAGGUAGCACAGGAAACUCAGUACAGGAGCUGAUCCAGGAUGUCUGAUGCCUGAAUCUGUAAUUCCCACUGAGGUCGAACUUCCAGUGACUCCAGGAAAGAACUGCAGGAUGGCAAUCCUUUCCUGUCCAGCCAAACGCCUUAGGAAAUGCUUGCAGAAUACACGAACAACAGCGCCCUCUGCACCUGAAACCCCUCCGGUUAUUAAACCCAGACUUUCCUACGUGCUGGAGGAGCCUUUCAUUUCAAUUACUGCUUUUUUCAGCUGCUGCCUCCACCCAGUGCACAGGAAUUGUCUCACCAGCUGCAAGGGACUGAGGAGACCAAGAUGGUGUGGAAAGCUUGUCUUACUUGAAAGUAAAAGAGACUGUAUAGGUAUUGCCAAAAACUCAUUGAGAAAAAGAGCAAGACACAGACCAAAAAAUUCUUGCAUCUGUUGGCCAUUUAAUCAUUUGUUCUGUAAAAAAUAUCAUGUAGCACUGUACAUUACAAAAGAAAAAAGAAAUAAAUUUCUAUCAUGCAGCUGUAUGAGAACUCACUGUACUUUUCUUCCCUAUUAG
rnacentral:lncRNA from 1 species